CAGUUCUCAAAUGCAAUCGAGGGUAACAUGUCUGCUUAUAAAAAACCUUUUUACCCAGAAGAAAAAGCAGCACCAGCAACUCCCCAUAACUGUGUUCAUCACUCGGAAGAAGACACCAGACACUAUGCCUUUAGCGACAACAGACGUUAUGGACGAGGGUGAAGAUACUGCACCACCUGAUGAAGAGCUGUAAUGCUCUUCUUGGGUAUGCAGUACAUUCAUUUCAUCACCUUCAUCAUCAUUAGUACUGCACACUUAAUUCAUCAUCAUCUUCAUCAUUCAAGUUGUACCUUCACUGAGAGGACCUUUGGCUGAUCCUGAACACUUGGCUGUUGCAAACAAGAACAGAGCAAACACCAUACUAAGACGUCUCUGUAGCAGCAGUUUUCAGGCUACUUGGACGACUUGGCUAACAAGGGUUUAAGGAGAAACUCCCAAUGUCAGUCCAAAAUCUGACAAAAAAGCAUAGAUGUGUUUGGAACAGAAAAACUCAGGAAAGAUAUCAUUAAAUCUUUAUUCUCUGAUGUUUAGUUCUUCAUCAACAGGAAAGUGCUUCAGCAAGUCCUAAUUUUAUGAUGGAUUUUGUGUGCAGAUUUGCCGUGGGAGCUGCAGCUUGCAGUGGUUUAUGCCACUCAUGAUCUGGCAGCCAGCAACCCCAAAGUCGCUGUAAAGAUUUUGAAAUCAUGGUGGCAAGACAUCACAAAGCUCAUUCCUCCAGCCGUCACCAAGCCUCAGACUCUCUUUAUGAAUAAUUUAAUAGAUUACUUUAAAAGUGAUUUAGAUCUAAAACUUUUGUUCGUAAAGAAAUAAAAUACAUUUUAGAUCUGUACAGUGUUAUCUGCUGUCUAUUAUAGUUUAUGUUUAUGUGGAAAAAGCCUGUAUGCUAUAAACUCCAUGAUGGAGACAUCAGACAGUUUGAGACAGUUUGGAUCAGGACCAGCAAAACCCAUCACAGUGAGCACUGGGACCUCAGGGCCGUAUCCUCAGUCACCAGCUGUUCACACUGUGAUUCAUGACUGUGCUGCAAUGCACAGCUCAAAUCAUCAAGUUCACCAGUCACAUGACUAUGGUGAGUUUAAUCAUCAAGAACAACGAGACGGCUUUCAGACAGGAAAUGCAGUGGAUAAUGGAUUGGUGCAGACUCAACAAUCUUGUGUUCACCUGUGGAGAAACUCACCUGGUCUCUCAAAUCCUCCAGCAUUGUGGAUAAUCAAACACACA